CAGCCGUAAACUAUGCGCGUUAGGUGUAUCGGUGACCACGAGUUACCGAGGUGCCGAAGGGAAACCGUGAAACGUGCCGCCUGGGAAGUACGGUCGCAAGGCUGAAACUUAAAGGAAUUGGCGGGGGAGCACCACAACAGGUGGAGCCUGCGGUUUAAUUGGACUCAACGCCGGACAACUCACCGGGAACGACAGCAAUAUGUAGGCCAGGCUGAAGACCUUGCCUGAAUCGCUGAGAGGAGGUGCAUGGCGUCAGUGACU
rnacentral:rRNA from 1 species